rnacentral:rRNA from 1 species
GACGAACGUUGGCGGCGUGCUUAACACAUGCAAGUCGAACGGAAAGGCCCUGCUUUUGUGGGGUGCUCGAGUGGCGAACGGGUGAGUAACACGUGAGUAACCUGCCCUUGACUUUGGGAUAACUUCAGGAAACUGGGGCUAAUACCGGAUAGGAGCUCCUGCUGCAUGGUGGGGGUUGGAAAGUUUCGGCGGUUGGGGAUGGACUCGCGGCUUAUCAGCUUGUUGGUGGGGUAGUGGCUUACCAAGGCUUUGACGGGUAGCCGGCCUGAGAGGGUGACCGGCCACAUUGGGACUGAGAUACGGCCCAGACUCCUACGGGAGGCAGCAGUGGGGAAUAUUGCACAAUGGGCGGAAGCCUGAUGCAGCAACGCCGCGUGCGGGAUGACGGCCUUCGGGUUGUAAACCGCUUUCGCCUGUGACGAAGCGUGAGUGACGGUAAUGGGUAAAGAAGCACCGGCUAACUACGUGCCAGCAGCCGCGGUGAUACGUAGGGUGCGAGCGUUGUCCGGAUUUAUUGGGCGUAAGGGCUCGUAGGUGGUUGAUCGCGUCGGAAGUGUAAUCUUGNGGCUUAACCCUGAGCGUGCUUUCGAUACGGGUUGACUUGAGGAAGGUAGGGGAGAAUGGAAUUCCUGGUGGAGCGGUGGAAUGCGCAGAUAUCAGGAGGAACACCAGUGGCGAAGGCGGUUCUCUGGGCCUUUCCUGACGCUGAGGAGCGAAAGCGUGGGGAGCGAACAGGCUUAGAUACCCUGGUAGUCCACGCUGUAAACGGUGGGUACUAGGUGUGGGGUCCAUUCCACGGGUUCCGUGCCGUAGCUAACGCUUUAAGUACCCCGCCUGGGGAGUACGGCCGCAAGGCUAAAACUCAAAGGAAUUGACGGGGCCCCGCACAAGCGGCGGAGCAUGCGGAUUAAUUCGAUGCAACGCGUAGAACCUUACCUGGGUUUGACAUGGAUCGGGAGCGCUCAGAGAUGGGUGUGCCUCUUUUGGGGUCGGUUCACAGGUGGUGCAUGGCUGUCGUCAGCUCGUGUCGUGAGAUGUUGGGUUAAGUCCCGCAACGAGCGCAACCCUUGUUCACUGUUGCCAGCACGUUAUGGUGGGGACUCAGUGGAGACCGCCGGGGUCAACUCGGAGGAAGGUGGGGAUGACGUCAAGUCAUCAUGCCCCUUAUGUCCAGGGCUUCACGCAUGCUACAAUGGCUGGUACAGAGAGUGGCGAGCCUGUGAGGGUGAGCGAAUCUCGGAAAGCCGGUCUCAGUUCGGAUUGGGGUCUGCAACUCGACCUCAUGAAGUCGGAGUCGCUAGUAAUCGCAGAUCAGCAACGCUGCGGUGAAUACGUUCCCGGGGCU